GGUUGUUCUGCGGCGAACUUUGAAGAAAGUUAAAGAUAAAAUGUCCAAGGCUCAGUUUUCCUGUGAGCAUUGUACUAAGUUGAAGAAAUCAAAGCAGUAUUGUGGUAUAUGCAAAAAAAUUUGGCAUCAUUCAGAUGGUGGGAACUGGGUGUGUUGCGAUGGUUGUGAUGUUUGGGUGCAUGUAGAGUGUACAGAUAUUUCCAGCAAUGCUUUGAAGAAUCUACAGAACACUGAUUACUUUUGCCCAAAGUGCAAAGGAAUUUCUAACAAAAAAUUGUUGGGCUCAGUACAGGGGGGACCAAAAGCAAGAUUAAGAGAGAGCAGUGGAAGUGUGAUGCCUGACAAGAUCACUGUUGUGUGUACUGGCGUUGAAGGGAUCUAUUAUCCAGAUAUUCAUUUAGUUCAGUGCAAGUGUGGUUCUUGUGGAAUAAGGAAGCAAACACUAAGUGAGUGGGAGAAACAUACAGGUUGCAGAGCUAAGAAAUGGAAGUGCAGCGUGAAAGUCAAGGGCUCAAUGAUAACACUUGAGCAAUGGCUUUCAGAC
rnacentral:misc_RNA from 1 species